rnacentral:rRNA from 1 species
UACGUAGGGGGCAAGCGUUGUCCGGAUUUAUUGGGCGUAAAGAGCGUGUAGGCGGCCAGGUAGGUCAGCUGUGAAAACUCGAGGCUCAACCUCGAGACGCCGGUUGAAACCAUCUGGCUAGAGUCCGGAAGAGGAGAGUGGAAUUCCCGGUGUAGCGGUGAAAUGCGCAGAUAUCAGGAAGAACACCUAUGGCGAAGGCAGCUCUCUGGGACGGUACUGACGCUGAGACGCGAAAGCGUGGGGAGCGAACAGG